AUGCUCCUCCAAAAGGCCCGCGCCCCCCCCCCCUUUUCACAGUCCUUAUAUCACCGAGUUCUUCCGGGGUUACGUAGCCCCCUUCCUGGUACUGCGGCUGCGUCAAUUGUUGCUAGGGGGUCGUCUCCGGUCCCUCUGGUGGUCGCACGGUUGAAGGCAGUAGUUUUCCUCUGCUUGGCUUUCACAGAAGGCAACAAGCUACAAAAUGUAUGUCACGUGCAACAAGAGGUAUAAAUGACAAAAGCAAGACAAACAAAAGCACCCGAACCAGUGGAAUAAACAAAAGAUACCAGUGGGCUUAGACAUUCCAGUGGACUCCCAUUGGUGGCUGGUUGUCAGCAUUUCUGAGAGCAGCCUCUGAGGAAAACUGAGUUUUGGAGGGAACUCAAUUCAGAAAGGAAGCAAGGGAUCCUCCCACCCUGGCACACAUUGAACUUUCACCUGUAUAAUGUGUAUAAUACCAC
rnacentral:lncRNA from 1 species